rnacentral:ncRNA from 1 species
CGGGGUGGCGUUUUUGCCUGAGAUCAUACCCGUCAACCUGAUCUGGAUAAUACCAGCGUAGGGAGCGCGAUGUA